rnacentral:rRNA from 1 species
UACGUAGGGCGCAAGCGUUAUCCGGAAUUAUUGGGCGUAAAGAGCUCGUAGGCGGUUUGUCGCGUCUGCCGUGAAAGUCCGGGGCUCAACUCCGGAUCUGCGGUGGGUACGGGCAGACUAGAGUGCAGUAGGGGAGACUGGAAUUCCUGGUGUAGCGGUGAAAUGCGCAGAGUAUCAGGAGGAACACCGAUGGCGAAGGCAGGUCUCUGGGCUGUAACUGACGCUGAGGAGCGAAAGCGUGGGGAGCGAACAGG